GUGGGGAAUAUUGGACAAUGGGGGGAACCCUGAUCCAGCCAUGCCGCGUGUGUGAAGAAGGCCUUUUGGUUGUAAAGCACUUUAAGCGAGGAGGAGGCUACCGAGAUUAAUACUCUUGGAUAGUGGACGUUACUCGCAGAAUAAGCACCGGCUAACUCUGUGCCAGCAGCCGCGGUAAUACAGAGGGUGCAAGCGUUAAUCGGCUUUACUGGGCGUAAAGCGCGCGUAGGUGGCCAAUUAAGUCAAAUGUGAAAUCCCCGAGCUUAACUUGGGAAUUGCAUUCGAUACUGGUUGGCUAGAGUAUGGGAGAGGAUGGUAGAAUUCCAGGUGUAGCGGUGAAAUGCGUAGAGAUCUGGAGGAAUACCGAUGGCGAAGGCAGCCAUCUGGCCUAAUACUGACACUGAGGUGCGAAAGCAUGGGGAGCAAACAGGAUUAGAAACCCUUGUAGUCC
rnacentral:rRNA from 1 species